ACGCUGGUCGCGUGGCUAACACAUGCAAGUCGAGCGAGAAAAGUGGGGGCAACUCCCUGAGUAUAGCCCCGCACGGGUGAGUAACACGUGGGUAAUCUGCCCUGGAGUGGGGAAUAACACCUGGAAACCGGUGCUAAUACCGCAUACGAUAACUAGGUCUGUGGACUUUGUUAUGAAAGGAGCAAUUCGCUCUAGGAGGAGCCCACUGCUGAUUAUCUAGUUGGUGAGGUAACGGCUCUCCAAGGGUACCAUCAGUAUCCGGUCUGAGAGGACGGUCGGACACACUGGAACUGAGACACUGUCCAGACUCCUACGGGAGGCAGCAUUGGG
rnacentral:rRNA from 1 species